AAGGUCCCAAUUAAGUCACCCCAAAGCCUUUUCAUUUCCAGUCUGAACAAACCCAGUUGUCUCAGUCUUUCCUUGUAGCGGAAAUGCUCCAUCCCCCUAAUCAACUUGGUGAUCCUCCUUUGGACUUACUCCAACAGGGGUGUGAACAGUUGCUGCAUGCUGGAGAAGAUAGGACAAGAACUGUACAAAUAUGAACUUGCCACAAAACCUCCACUUCAUCUCUACCCUGCAGGCCAAGUAUCUGCUUGGGGCUUCUGUGGAAGAAGGG